rnacentral:tRNA from 1 species
AUUUUAAACAUCAAAUAUAAAGAUUUUUAAAUCUUUUUUUAUAA